GGAGCAGGAAAGAUUAUCGCUUUAUCAUAUUAUGAUAAAGAGGAAAGUCCGAACUCCAGGGGCAGCGUGGUUCUGAAAUAGAACAGGGGGUGACCCCAGGAAAGUGCCACAGAAAACAUACCGCUUCAUGAUUACUCAUGAAGUAAGGGUGAAAAGGUGAGGUAAGAGCUCACCGCUUCAAUGGUGACAUUGAAGGCAUGGUAAACCCCACGCGGAGCAAGAUCAAAUAGAGAAACAGUUACGAGCAGCCCACUCGAUUCAGAAAAAUGCAUGCAUUUUUCUGACUGUUUCCGGGUAGAUCGCUUAGAUGAAUGAUAAUCGCAAACAGAAUUCGGCUUAUUUCCUGCUCUACAU
rnacentral:RNase_P_RNA from 2 species